AUGGAGAGCUAUUAUGACGGUGCCAGCGGCAGGGAGAGAAGCCACAGCAGAGGAAGUCUUUCAGCAAGGGCCCCACAGUGUCCCGUCUCUGCAGCUGGAGCUCUGCGGCGUCCAGGCUCUGAGACCACCUCGGCUACAGUCAGGCAGCCUUUUGUGACCCCCAUCGUCAUCACCUCUGCUCAGGUAGGAGGUCAACUGAGGCAUCUCUUUCUGCCUUGACUUCAUUUAUUCAUUCAACAAACACAUGCCUAGAGCCUACUAUUUCCCAGGCACUGUGCUGGGUGUUGGUGUGACACAGAUUCAAUACCUAGGGGUAAGGAACUGAGGUGACAGCCGGGGAGACCAACAAUCCCCUUUGAAGGGGACAAUGCACUUAAACACCCAGAGGCCAGAUCAAGGGCCAGGCCGGACUCCAGAAUGCCUGGCUUCUGAGGAGGAGGUCGAGCUGUUUACCUGGACUGGGAGGGUUAACAGGGGAGCGGGAGUCCAAAUUGGGCUUUGGGGGCUUGUGGGAGCAGCAGCGGGGAGG
rnacentral:lncRNA from 1 species